rnacentral:RNase_P_RNA from 1 species
GACAAACGCUGCACACUAGUUGUGUAGAGGAAAGUCCAUGCUCACACAAUCUGUGAUGAUUGUAGUGUUCACGCCAAGGGAAAAAAUAACCUUGGGUAGUCCUUGUGACUAACGGCUUCGAAAUAACCUAAAGAUUUAUCCAUGGUUAAAUUAGAUAUAAAAGUGCCAUAGAGACGAGUUUUAUUGGAAACAAUAAAAGUGGAACGUGGUAAACCCCGUGAGUGAGAAACCCAAAUUUGGUAGGGGAGCUUGGCUGAUGAGAAUCAAGAAUCAUCACCGGGAUCGUGCAAACGAUAGAUAGAUGUUUGUCCCUUUGUAAAAAGGACAGAACAUGGCUUACAU